UUAUCUAAGAGGAAGCCCCUUGGUGGAUGGCUCGGCUGGGCAACCGAGGAAGGACGCGGCAAGCGGCGAUAUGCCAGGGGUAGACGCAAGCAGUCGUUGAUCCCUGGAUCUCCGAAUGGGUAUCCUGGUGCCACUCACGAAUAGUGGGUGGCAUCGCUCCUGGGGUAAACCCUAGGAGCGGGAACCCCCCGAACGGAAACAUCUUAGUAGGGGGUGGAAGAGAAACCAACAGGGAUCCCCUGAGUAGCGGCGAGCGAAAGGGGGAGAGCUCAAAUCGAAUCCUCCCUAGAUAAUAGGGAGGAGAUGUAAGGUUAUUGGGUUUCAUUCGACACCCUAACUCGGUUAGCCGAAGUGGGCUGGAAUGCCCCGCCAUAGAGGGUGAUAGCCCCGUAGGCGAAAACCGAGCGGGUGGAUGAGAAUGAAUACCAGAGUACCACACCUUGGUUAUGGUGUGGGAAGUUGGGAGUAUCAACUUCCAAAGCUAAACAUUCGCCCAGACCGAUAGCGAACCAGUACCGUGAGGGAAAGCUGAAAAGCACCCCGGGAGGGGUGUGAAAAGAGCCUGAAACCAAGGGGCUACAGGCGGCAUGGCCCGAAAGGAAUGAUCUUUCUUAAGGAAUUCCUACGAGAGUAGGGUUCCUUAAGAAAGGGAUCAGGGUCAUGCCUUACGUCUAGAAACACGGGCCAGGGAGUUUAAGGCUGUGGCGAGCCUAAGGGGGUUAACCCCGCAGGCGUAGAAAACUCGAGUACCCGUAGCUUACACCUCUGCAUUAUACAAGUAGCUUGGGUUUGAUUUAUGAUAACUCGGGCUACUUGUAUAAUGUAAGUGUAAGCGAGGGGUAGGGUCCGAAAGGGCCUUAAGUCACAGCCUUAAGACCAGAAACCAGGCGAUCUAGGCCUGGGUAGGGUGAAGCCGGGCGAAAGCCCGGUGGAGGCCCGAAUAGGGGUGCUGACGUGCAAAUCGCUCCCCUAACCCGGGCCUAGGGGCAAUAGACCAAUCAAGCCUGGUGAUAGCUGGUUCCCCCCGAAGCUGGUCCCAGCCAGGCCUCGCCAGAGGUUCGUUAGGGUGUAGAGCACUGAUUGCUGGGUAAGGGCCGAAAGGCCCGCCCGGCAGUCAAACUCCGAAGCCCUAACGACCUCAGAAGGCGGGAGACGGGUUUCGCGGGAUAAGCCCGCGAGCCGAAAGGGGGACAACCCAACCUAGGGUUAAGGUCCCUAAGUGCUGGCUAAGUAUCAAGCCCAAAGGGCGUCACCGCUCUGAGACAGCCGGGAGGUAGGCUUAGAAGCAGUUAACCUCUAAGGAGUGCGUAACAGCUCACCGGCCGAGAGCGGUGGCCCCGAAAAUUGACGGGAUUUAAGCCAGCCACCGAGACCCUAGGGGAUACUCCGAUGCGGAGUAUCAUCCGGUAGGGGGGCGCUGUAGCAGGGUAGAAGCCGGGGCGUGAGCUCCGGUGGACCUGCUACAGAUGCGAAUCCUGGCAGUAGUAACAGCGAAGCUGGGUGGAAAUCCCAGCCGCCGGAAGGGCCAGGGUUCCUCGGCAAUGCGUCGUCAGCCGAGGGUUAGCCGCUCCUAAGAGCGGCCUUCACUGGUCCGCUCGAAAGGGAAAAUGGUUAAUAUUCCAUUGCUAAGGGCCUACGUUAGUGGUAACACAAGCCACGCUCCAGACGGAUAGGGGUAGGGUGUGUAGGGUCUUCGCCCUACUUAACUCCUGAAGUACGGGGAGUGUCGUAAUGACGAGAACCGUACGAAAGGAGGAAUAGCCCCCUGUAUAGGGGGUACACCCGAUCCCCUGUCCCCGUGAAAAUGGAGCGUGGAAGGAUGGCCCUUAAGCGUACCUAGAUCCGACACAGGUGCCCCUGGCUGAGAAGGCCAAGGCGUCUCCGGGUACUCCGGGCCAAGGAACUCGGCAAAUUGGCCCCGUACCUUCGGUAGAAGGGGUGCCUGGGCUCUUCAGGGUUAACCUGGGGGGCCUAGGUCGCAGUGACAAGGAGGUCCCGACUGUUUAAUAAAAACAUAGGUCCCCGCGAGCCCGAAAGGGUUUGUACGGGGGCUGAAUCCUGGCCACUGGCGGUACGCGAACCCCGGGUUCAACCGGGCUAAGCGCCGCCGAAGGCCGGGAGUAACUCUGACUCUCUUAAGGUAGCCAAAUGCCUUGUCGGGUAAGUUCCGACGUGCAUGAAUGGAUCAACGAGGGCCUCACUGUCUCGGCCCGGAGCCGGGUGAACCUGCAACCUAGUGCACAGUCUAGGGACUCCCGACGGGGCGAGAAGACCCCGUGGAGCUUUACUGCAGCCUCAAGCUGUGGUGCUGUCCUCGUUGCGUAGAGUAGACGGGAGACAAUGAAAUACUCUCUCCGGGGAGUAUAGAGUCGAAAGUGAAACACCGUCCAACGAGGAUGGUGCCACUAACCCGGCUUUGCCGGGGACACCUUGAGGUGGGCAGUUCGGCUGGGGCGGCACGCCCCCGACAAAGAAUCGGGGGCGUCCAAAGGGUGGCUCAGGCAGGUCAGAAACCUGCCGUGGAGGACAAGGCCAAAUGCCACCCUGACUGGUUCCUCAACUGCACGGGAACCAGGGGUGAAAGCCGGGCCUAGCGAACGCUCAUGUCCCCCUUGAUGGGGGCUGGGCAUGACGGAAAAGCUACCCCGGGAAUAACCGGCUCGUCGCGGGCGAGAGUCCACAUCGACCCCGCGGAUUGGUACCCAGACGUCGUCUCUUCCCAUCCUGGGGGUGCAAUAGCCCCCAAGGGUAGGGCUGCCCGCCCGUUAAAGGGAACCGUGAGAUGGGUUUAGACCGUCGUGAGACAGGUCGGUCUCUACCUGUCGGGAGCGCUGGCCACCUGAGGCGAAGGUGUUGCCAGUACGAGAGGAACGCAACGCCGCCGCCUCUGGUGUAGUGGCUGUCCGAAAGGGCAAGCCACGCAGCCACGCGGUAGGGGAUAAGGGCUGAAAGCAUCUAAGCCCGAAUCCCCCGCCAAGACUAGGUGGCCAUUCCACCGGUCCAAAAGGCCGGUGGACGAGGGCUCCCGCAAAAGACGGGGUUGAUAGGGUGGGGGUGUAAGCGCCAAAGCCGAAAGGCUGAGGCGUUCAGCCCGCCACUACUAACAGCCCGAGUUAGAUAAAU
rnacentral:rRNA from 1 species